rnacentral:rRNA from 1 species
GAUGAACGCUGGCGGCGUGCCUAAUACAUGCAAGUCGAGCGAACGGACGAGAAGCUUGCUUCUCUGAUGUUAGCGGCGGACGGGUGAGUAACACGUGGAUAACCUACCUAUAAGACUGGGAUAACUUCGGGAAACCGGAGCUAAUACCGGAUGAUAUUUUGAACCGCAUGGUUCAAAAGUGAAAGACGGUCUUGCUGUCACUUAUAGAUGGAUCCGCGCUGCAUUGGCUAGUUGGUAAGGUAACGGCUUACCAAGGCAACGAUGCAUAGCCGACCUGAGAGGGUGAUCGGCCACACUGGAACUGAGACACGGUCCAGACUCCCACGGGAGGCAGCAGUAGGGAAUCUUCCGCAAUGGGCGAAAGCCUGACGGAGCAACGCCGCGUGAGUGAUGAAGGUCUUCGGAUCGUAAAACUCUGUUAUUAGGGAAGAACAUAUGUGUAAGUAACUGUGCACAUCUUGACGGUACCUAAUCAGAAAGCCACGGCUAACUACGUG